UCAUCCUUGUGACCUGCAAUACCAAAGCAGAGUUAAACAAGAUGCUUUCUAGAGAUCACCAGCUUGGAGGGAAUGGAGAAAGAUCCAUUUGCCAGUGAUUUCAAUGUCCUUGCUUAAGACCUCUCUGCCAGGGUAGUUGGCUGAAGGGGAGAGAGAUUUAGAGAGGGAAACAUUGCUUUCUAUGUGCUGCAUCAUCGGGAGCUGCAUCCCCCUCCCAUGUUCACCCCCAUCAUGCUGGGAAGCGGAGAUCUGCACUUCCUCACCUCCUUCUCCCCACCCAAGUCCUCAGGUGGAGAUUCCCCUCGUUCCUGCUCUGGACAUGGGAUUACAGCUCUGACUCCUUUUCCCAGUGUAUCAUCAACAUGUUGUUUCCAGGGUCAUAAAUUUGCACUGUGAUGAGACACAACCAGAUGUUAGGAUACGUGAAGCGACUGGCGAAGCAGCCUGCCUGGCGCAGCCCCCACCUCCAGAGUCAGCCGCCCGCUAAUGAGAAACAGGUCUCUUGCCUUGAGCUGGACCAGGACAGACGGAGAGCAUCCCCAGGAGCAACUAUGGAGCUGCUAUCUCGACCCCCUUCCUGCUCUUAGUGCCCAGAGAGCAUCUUCAGGGCUGGAUUCAGGCACUUCAGCUACUACUGGCUUCUGGCAGCCAUCUGGAAAGAUAGUCUGGGUGGUACAGCGGGGGAACACACAAGGCCAUGGUCCUCCUUGCUAGCAAGGAAGCUGGUUAUAAUGCUGUAUGGUGCUUUAUCAUGUAAAAAUACUUCUGAGAUGCA